UAGCCCACAUGUGGUCCAGAAACAACUUUAGGCUGGCCAUUUAGAACCUAUGCUCAGUCCUUGGAACACACCCAUCUUUAUAUUUAAGAAAAAAAUCUGGCAAUUGGGGAUUAUUACAAGAUCUCAGGGCAAUUAAUCAUGUUAUUGAGCCCAUGGGAGCCUUACAAUCAGGGCUUCCUUCCCCAGUAGCCAUCCCUUUAAAUUAUCAUUUAAUAGUAAUAGAUUUAAAAUAUUGUUUCUUUUCUAUACAUUUUCACCCUGACAACUAUAAAAGUUUGCCUUCAG
rnacentral:sRNA from 1 species